rnacentral:misc_RNA from 1 species
GUCAUAGGCAUUUCAAGUUUAUAACCUUAACAAAUACUUUAUUAAACAAGUAAUAGUCAAAAUUCAAUUCAAUCAAUUUAUAACCUUAACAGGGUGUAUGACGAAAUCUUCAUCAUUCACAUCUAUAAGAGAUGAUAGACACAAAGCUAUUCAUCUAGUAAAGAUGAACAACUUAAAAGGAUUUAAAAAAAAAAUAAUGCAGCAGCAGAAAUAUGACUCUGAAAAUAGCCUCACGCAUAAUGAACAAAAGAAAUACAUAGAAAAUAACGGCGCAAGGGAGCUGUCCAAAUAAUUUACUAACAUUUUCUAUAACAGCUCUUUUUUAUGUCCCUGAUACUUGCAUGGAUGCGCACUUGAGAAUGCACAGAGGUAGGGAGAGAUAGAGAGAAUCAUAUGCUUGGUGUUUCACCAGCAGGUCCUGGCCGGGCAUUUAAGAGAGGCUGGAGAGCUUUAACCACAAUGCUCAUGUUUGGCCGGAAGUCUGCUUCAUAUUGCACACACAAGGCAGCGACAGCAGCCAUCUGCAAUGAAGAUGAAGAAAGGGUUAAACUUAAAGCCAUCUUUAAUUCACAAAAUUUUAUACUUUGCUUUUAAGAUUUCCACUUAGUAGGGGCCACGUAAAUCAUAUGGCAAACACAUGGCUUGCUUGUAAUUCUAAACAUCUUCAAGGUAAAUAAAGGUGAAUUCUCGUCUAAAAGUCCAUGGAAGAGCUGCAGUAAAUUGCAAUAGUUUCUAAGAUGUGCCAAGAGAAAUUUUCCUUAAAUGAUCAACAAAAAUAUUUUGAAAGAGCCAGGUCAAACCUUUGCAACUGCCUUGGGUGGGUAAUCUCCUUGAAGUCUUGCAUCAACACACUGCCUUACCUUAUCUUCACUAAGUUUUGGUGUAGCCCAUGUCACUAGACUCUGCUGUCCACGAGGUAAUGUAUGGUCAACAGGCUUUCGCCCAGUCAAAAGCUCAAGCAGGACAACACCAAAACUGUAUACAUCACUUUUUGCAUUCAACUGUCCGGUCAUUGCAUAUUCAGGAGCAUGAUAACCAAAAGUUCCUAGAACACGAGUGGAAUGCAGACGUGCUGCCAUAUCAGGAGCUUGAUUUGACAAAUCAAAAUCUGCAAUCUUUGCAACAUCAUCAUCAAAAAUCAGAACAUUACUGGACUUAAUAUCUCGAUGAAUGAUAUGAGGAUCAGCCUUUUCAUGCAAGUACUCAAGUCCUUUUGCAGCCCCAAAUGCAAUUUUCACACGCUGCUGCCAUGAAAGGACAGGACCAGGCUGUGCCCCUUUAACACCUUUCCUUCCUGCAACAACAGUAAUUGAUAAUUGAAUCAUUAAGCACACAAAUGUAAUACGAACCAAAAUCUAUGACAAUGGUCGAAAAUAAACAAGUAAAGAGCAUUGCAAUUUCAGCCAAGCAUUAGUGAACUUAUCUGUCCCACAGCCACCAUCUCCGAGAUUAAACAAAGCACAUGUUUACCCAUAACAGUGUUUUGAUGUAUCUCAAAAUUUCAUACAAGCAAUAAGCUAGAAGAUUGAACUAGAUUUCCACUUUUAUUAGGUAAGACUAUUGUUGCAAAGAUUUGCAACCAGAACAUGUCAUAUGCAGUUAAACAUAUCAUUAAACCUUUGCUGUAUAAUUGAAACAAUGAAGCACGAUCAGAAAUACCAUGAAGAAUAUCAUGAAGAGAUCCAUUAGAUGCAAAUUCAUAUGCAAGUAUACGGGAACAUCCAUCAACACAAUACCCAAGCAAUUGUACAAAAUUUUCAUGUCUAAGCCUUGACACCAUUGAAACCUGGGCCAAGAACUCAUCGUCAGGCUGUUUGCUUGCAUCUAAUUUUUUUAUUGCUGCAGCCUGCCCACUUUUAAGCACCCCGUAAUAUACUCUUCCAUAUGAGCCCUCUCCAAUCAGAGAAUUUGUCCCAAAGUUAUCCGUAACUUCCUUUAGUUCAUCCACUGAAAUAGAAGGUACCUCAAUAGGCUGGAUUUUAACAGCCUGAGCACCCUUAGGUGCUGUUUCUGAAGCAUGGUAACCUCCAAUUGUUCCUGCUGAAUUUUUAACAGGGUAUGGACCUCCACUGUCAGCGGCUUUAUGCAUGUCAUUUUCUUCACAACAGCUAAAGCAGCUCAUGUUUCAAGCUUUUCAGAAUGCCCCUCUAAAAAUAUCAGUUAAACCACACCAAAAUAAGAUCCUGUAAAUAUUGAUACACGAAACUCAAGGGGAAAAGAAAAGAAAAAUUGAAGAGAAAAGAGUUACAAGGAGAUGCUUAUCAGUAUUCGACCUAUAUAGACUGAACUCAACUCAACAAAGCCUUCAUCACAAUCUAGUUGCAGCCAACCUUAUGGAUUAUUUCCCUCCAAAAAAUAUUUCAAUCACGUUUAAUCUUGCACUCAGUAAAUGAUAUUAUCAUCAAAUUAACACACAUGUUAAACAAUGCAACCAUCCACAGAUGCUAGCAAAGAUAACACCUUAUUGAAGAAGAGUUGGCCCGAAAGGUAAGAUAGGAAGUGUUUGCUAUUCAUACUGCAGAUUUUGAAUUGUAAUAUAAUUUAGUUCUCAUGCUAAUAAGCUUAGCUUUGGAGAAGGAAAUUUUACCCAUCACGCAAAUGGUAACAGGGCAAAGUUGGUUUUAUGGUGCCCCACCACAAUUUUACCUACACUUUAAACACCAGGCACAAGCUUAAUAUGUAUCUACUGGGUAAUACAAUAAUUGCUAUAGUGUUGCCAUCACUUGUCCAUAAAGUUACUAAUCCAGAUUGCUAAAUGAAAAGAAACAAUUACAUAACGGUUCAAAUAUGCUUGAAUGCUUCACACAGCAAGCAAUUAGAACCAAAUCUAUUAAAGGGAGUGCAGAUAACCAACUAAGAGCUCCCGGACCAUUUUUGGCUCUCUCAAGGAAUCAAGUAGGAUUUGAAGGUAGAAAUCCUCAAUGGGACAAUAUACACAAAGAACGCAAAUAGCCAAAUUAUCAGAACCUACAAAUUUUUAGUUUCUAUAAGUUGGGGCAUCAGUAUCUAGCAUUUCUACUUGACCUCAGUCUCUUUAGAAGCCUUCUUUAUUUUACAAGAGAAUAAUAGCAUGGGGACACCAAAAACAAAAUCCUCUUUUCCAGCAUUAAAAGAGUAAUUGAGCUUACAACAAAAGACACUAGAGAAAAUCCAUCACAUAUGCAAAUAACAAUACUAUCAAUAAGAUGUUUCAUAGCUAUGCAGCUAUUGCAAGUAACAGAAUUCCACAGUAAGGGUUCAAAUAUCAUGAAAGUUAUUAGUACCCAAUGACUGCAGUGCAGCCAUCCAAUAUCCAGAUCGAACCAAUGCCACAGAGUAAGGUAAGGUUACACUUACUGAUAUGGAAAAUUAAAUAAAAAAUAGAUUUCAAAAUAAUCCAUAAUUCUCAACUUAAUUAGCAGCUUACAUAGGCACAACAAGUACAAAUUAAGGAACUAAAAAGUACUGUUAUCAAAUUGAUUACUGGCAUGCUAAUCAAUAAAACUCAAAAAUUAAAAAGACAACUGAUAAUUAAAGAACCAAAGGGAUCAAUCCGUACAUAGAAAAUUUUGCAGAGAAAUUUUAAAGACAAGAACUGGAUACUAUCUUCAAUGAGUCCAGAGAGGGAGCGUGAGCUUGGCCAUAGUUUGAGGGAUCUGAAACGUUGAAAGCCGGUGCACAGGAUAAGGCGUGGUGAGUGAUCGGCCCGGGCGUACUUUAGACAGAUGGGAGACUAUCUUGACUUAAAGCGAAAGUGGUUUUGGCUUUGAUUUGAGUUAAAAAUACAGAGAAUUAAGGAGUUAAUCCUUUUUCUCUUAAAUCCUUCUUUAUUAU